UAUAUAUAUAUAUAUAUAUGCAUUUAAAGGGAUAUAUAAUCCUGGUGGUUACAGUGUUUCCCCUUGAAUCGGUUUCAGAUGCCAGCGAACCAUAAUGUUC